rnacentral:rRNA from 1 species
GACGAACGCUGGCGGCGUGCUUAACACAUGCAAGUCGAACGGAAAGGCCCUGCUUUUGUGGGGUGCUCGAGUGGCGAACGGGUGAGUAACACGUGAGUAACCUGCCCUUGACUUUGGGAUAACUUCAGGAAACUGGGGCUAAUACCGGAUAGGAGCUCCUGCUGCAUGGUGGGGGUUGGAAAGUUUCGGCGGUUGGGGAUGGACUCGCGGCUUAUCAGCUUGUUGGUGGGGUAGUGGCUUACCAAGGCUUUGACGGGUAGCCGGCCUGAGAGGGUGACCGGCCACAUUGGGACUGAGAUACGGCCCAGACUCCUACGGGAGGCAGCAGUGGGGGAUAUUGCAUAAUGGGCGGAAGCCUGAUGCAGCAACGCCGCGUGCGGGAUGACGGCCUUCGGGUUGUAAACCGCUUUCGCCUGUGACGAAGCGUGAGUGACGGUAAUGGGUAAAGAAGCACCGGCUAACUACGUG